AUGUUGCUCUCCAGUGCUCUGAAGGUGUUCCUGGUUUCCAUGUGGCUAGGAUCCAGUAUUGCUCAGAAUGUAGAACAAACUCAAUCUCCCAUACAAGUGCAGGAGACAGAGACUGUGACCCUGGACUGCAUGUAUAAUACCACCUCUUACAGCUACAGUCUCUUUUGGUACAAGCAGCCUAACCAUCGGGAAAUGAUUUUCCUUAUUCGUCAGGACUCCUAUGGCAAGGAAAAUGUGAGAGAAGGUCGCUACUCAGUGGAUUUCCAGGAGACAAGCAAAUCCAUCAAACUUGUCAUCUCAGCCUCCCAGGUGGAGGACUCUGCAGUGUAUUUCUGUGCACUCAGAGAGGCACAGUGA